CAUGAUGCAGAUUCCAAAAUAUAAUUUUGCUAAUAACACUUAUUAUACAACUACAAAAUAUCUUUGGACAAGAAUCAUAGCAUAUGAUAAGUAUCGUAACUAAUUUAAUCAUAAAUUUAAACAUAAUAAUCAAUGCCAAAACAUGCAUUACAUAAAUCAUAAAUAUAAAAAUUUUCAUAAUCAACAAUAACAUAAAAUAUGUACGCAAGAAUAAUAAUUAUAGC
rnacentral:lncRNA from 1 species